rnacentral:rRNA from 1 species
AGCCGAGCGGUAGAGAUUCUUCGGAAUCUUGAGAGCGGCGUACGGGUGCGGAACACGUGUGCAACCUACCUUUAUCAGGGGGAUAGCCUUUCGAAAGGAAGAUUAAUACCCCAUAAUAUAUUGAAUGGCAUCAUUUAAUAUUGAAAACUCCGGUGGAUAGAGAUGGGCACGCGCAAGAUUAGAUAGUUGGUAGGGUAACGGCCUACCAAGUCAAUGAUCUUUAGGGGGCCUGAGAGGGUGAUCCCCCACACUGGUACUGAGACACGGACCAGACUCCUACGGGAGGCAGCAGUGAGGAAUAUUGGACAAUGGGUGAGAGCCUGAUCCAGCCAUCCCGCGUGAAGGACGACGGCCCUAUGGGUUGUAAACUUCUUUUGUAUAGGGAUAAACCUACUCUCGUGAGAGUAGCUGAAGGUACUAUACGAAUAAGCACCGGCUAACUCCGUGCCAGCAGCCGCGGUAAUACGGAGGGUGCAAGCGUUAUCCGGAUUUAUUGGGUUUAAAGGGUCCGUAGGCGGAUCUGUAAGUCAGUGGUGAAAUCUCAUAGCUUAACUAUGAAACUGCCAUUGAUACUGCAGGUCUUGAGUAAAGUAGAAGUGGCUGGAAUAAGUAGUGUAGCGGUGAAAUGCAUAGAUAUUACUUAGAACACCAAUUGCGAAGGCAGGUCACUAUGUUUUAACUGACGCUGAUGGACGAAAGCGUGGGGAGCGAACAGGAUUAGAUACCCUGGUAGUCCACGCCGUAAACGAUGCUAACUCGUUUUUGGGUCUUCGGAUUCAGAGACUAAGCGAAAGUGAUAAGUUAGCCACCUGGGGAGUACGUUCGCAAGAAUGAAACUCAAAGGAAUUGACGGGGGCCCGCACAAGCGGUGGAUUAUGUGGUUUAAUUCGAUGAUACGCGAGGAACCUUACCAAGGCUUAAAUGGGAAUUGACAGGUUUAGAAAUAGACUUUUCUUCGGACAAUUUUCAAGGUGCUGCAUGGUUGUCGUCAGCUCGUGCCGUGAGGUGUUAGGUUAAGUCCUGCAACGAGCGCAACCCCUGUCACUAGUUGCCAUCAUUCAGUUGGGGACUCUAGUGAGACUGCCUACGCAAGUAGAGAGGAAGGUGGGGAUGACGUCAAAUCAUCACGGCCCUUACGCCUUGGGCCACACACGUAAUACAAUGGCCAGUACAGAGGGCAGCUACCAGGCGACUGGAUGCGAAUCUCGAAAGCUGGUCUCAGUUCGGAUUGGAGUCUGCAACUCGACU